rnacentral:rRNA from 1 species
AACGAACGCUGGCGGCAGGCUUAACACAUGCAAGUCGAGCGCCCCGCAAGGGGAGCGGCAGACGGGUGAGUAACGCGUGGGAAUCUACCCAUCUCUACGGAAUAACGCAUGGAAACGUGUGCUAAUACCGUAUACGUCCUUCGGGAGAAAGAUUUAUCGGAGAUGGAUGAGCCCGCGUUGGAUUAGCUAGUUGGUGGGGUAAAGGCCUACCAAGGCGACGAUCCAUAGCUGGUCUGAGAGGAAGAUCAGCCACACUGGGACUGAGACACGGCCCAGGCUCCUACGGGAGGCAGCAGUGGGGAAUAUUGGACAAUGGGCGCAAGCCGGAUCCAGCCAUGCCGCGUGAGUGAUGAAGGCCAUAGGGUUAUAAAGCGCUUUCACCGGUGAAGAUAAUGACGGUAACCGGAGAAGAAGCCCCGGCUAACUUCGUGCCAGCAGCCGCCGCCGUAA